rnacentral:rRNA from 1 species
UACAGAGGGUGCGAGCGUUAAUCGGAAUUACUGGGCGUAAAGCGUGCGUAGACGGUUAUUUAAGUCGGGUGUGAAAGCCCCCGGCUCAACCGGGGAACGGCGCGGGAAACUAGCAGGCUUGAGUUCGGGAGAGGGAAGCGGAAUUCCGGGUGUAGCGGUGAAAUGCGCAGAUAUCCGGAGGAACACCGGUGGCGAAGGCGGCUUCCUGGACCGACACUGACGCUGAGGCGCGAAAGCUAGGGGAGCAAACGGG